AUUGAACGCUGGCGGCAGGCCUAACACAUGCAAGUCGAGCGGAUGAAGGGAGCUUGCUCCUGGAUUCAGCGGCGGACGGGUGAGUAAUGCCUAGGAAUCUGCCUGGUAGUGGGGGAUAACGUCCGGAAACGGGCGCUAAUACCGCAUACGUCCUGAGGGAGAAAGUGGGGGAUCUUCAGACCUCACGCUAUCAGCUGAGCCUACGACGGAUUAGCUAGUUGGUGGGGUAAAGGCCUACCAAGGCGACGAACCGUAACUGAUCUGAGAGGCUGACCAGUCACACUGGAACUGAGACACGGUCCAGACUCCUACGGGAGGCAGCAGUGGGGAAUAUUGGACAAUGGGCGAAAGCCUGAUCCAGCCAUGCCGCGUGAGUGAAGAAGGUCUUCGGAUUGUAAAGCACUUUAAGUUGGGAGGAAGAACAGUAAGUUAAUACCUUGCUGUUUUGACGUUACCAACAGAAUAAGCACCGGCUAACUUCGUG
rnacentral:rRNA from 1 species